rnacentral:rRNA from 1 species
UGAGAUGUUGGGUUAAGUCCCGUAACGAGCGCAACCCUUGUCCUUAGUUACCAGCACGUAUGGUGGGCACUCUAAGGAGACUGCCGGUGACAAACCGGAGGAAGGUGGGGAUGACGUCAAGUCAUCAUGGCCCUUACGGCCUGGGCUACACACGUGCUACAAUGGUCGGUACAAAGGGUUGCCAAGCCGCGAGGUGGAGCUAAUCCCAUAAAACCGAUCGUAGUCCGGAUCGCAGUCUGCAACUCGACUGCGUGAAGUCGGAAUCGCUAGUAAUCGUGAAUCAGAGUGUCACGGUGAAUACGUUCCCGGGCCUU